UAUAAUUUUAUUUAAGGGCAUAUAAUCUUUUUUACUUUAAGGAAAAAAUUUAAACCCUUUUUUUAUAA
rnacentral:tRNA from 1 species